rnacentral:lncRNA from 1 species
AAAGCUUCCUGACCUUGUGUGACUCGGGCACUGCCAAGACCACAUUCAGGAUGAGUCACCUCCAUCCUGGAUCUCAGCACAAAGUAGGUAAAAAACAGGGGACGGUAUGAGUGACAGGCUGCCAGCAGUGCCUACUAGUGCCCGAGCAUUUGCUGGGAGCCUUUCCCCUACAGGGAAAGCUCAGGAGGGCGGGCCAAGCAACGAGGACAGAGUCUCUUGGGCCCCUGCUGUGGCUGUGUUUAAACCUGUCUGUCCUGAACCAGGACCCCCGGCACCACAUUCUCCACUUCCCCAAUGAGGCCUCCACCUGAACCUCCUGUCUGAAUAUCAUGUGGUCUCCACUAAAGCCUGACAUCAGAGCCUUCCCUAUCUCCCUUACAAGAAGGCUAGAAUACCGAAAAAUUCAGAGGCGCCCUCUCAUCCUGCUGAAACAGCUGGCCUCCUCUCCAUGGUGCGGUGAGGGCCACCGUGAGCCAGUGUCUCCCAGGCUUUCAGAAGGCCAGAGCUCAAAGGCCUGGCCCGAGUCCCACCCCUUCACGUGACAGAUGGGGAAACCGGGCCCUAAGAGAGGAGAUAUAAGCCCAAAUCACAAGCUAGCAAGGGGCCACAAGUCUUUUGACCCUCGCCUGCAAAGUAAAAUCAAUAAACUCCACCUGGAUUCCUUUUCAGCAAAACACCGUCAGAAACCCGUAGGCAAUUCUUUUCUAAGUGGAAUCACUUGUGGCUUAGGCCUUUGAUGUGACUCAUCCGGACAGAAUCCCUGUAAACAGUGGGCUUGACCCGCGAGGACUUGGGGGCUGCUCGGGUCAGAGCCUCGCGGCCGCCGUCACACACCCCGGGGAGCUGGGGAGGGACGACCGGCCUCCACCAAAGAAACAGCAAGGACAGCACAGCAGGACCCUGGCGAAUCCGCGCCCGUCCCUGCCCAGGCUGCCCGGGUUCCGCCGCUGGGCGACCCCAGGAUUUCCUUUGAAGUCUGAAUCUCUCUUAUCCCCGAGCCCCUGCCUCCCGGUACAGCCGUUGCGCGGCGAUUGCCAGGCAGGUCUCCGCCGGGC